CAGGGAAAACAAGAAUCUUACAGGAACAACUCGAUAUGCAAGUGUUAACACUCACCUUGGAGUUGAGCAAAGCAGGAGGGAUGAUCUCGAAUCCUUGGGUUAUGUGCUUAUGUACUUCCUUAGGGGAAGUCUUCCAUGGAAGGGCUUGAAAGUUGGCACCAAAAAGCAGAAGUAUGACAAGAUUAGCGAAAAUAAGAUGCUUACUCCAAUAGAGGCAACAUACUUGCUUUUAAUGGUCAGAAUUUUCAUGAAGU